rnacentral:tRNA from 1 species
GAGAAUAAAGUUAGUAUUCUAAUACUUAGUUUACAUCUAAGUGAGUCUCACGAGAUAUUCUCAC